rnacentral:rRNA from 1 species
GUGGGGAAUCUUCCGCAAUGGACGAAAGUCUGACGGAGCGACGCCGCGUGAGUGAAGAAGGCCUUCGGGUCGUAAAGCUCUGUCAUCAGGGACGAACGGCCGGUGGAGUGGAAAGCCACCGGAUUGACGGUACCUGAGAAGGAAGCCACGGCUAACUACGUGCCAGCAGCCGCGGUAAUACGUAGGUGGCAAGCGUUGUCCGGAAUUAUUGGGCGUAAAGCGCGCGCAGGUGGGAUCUUAAGUCCAUUUUGAAAGUUCGGAGCUCAACUCCGUGAUGGGAUGGAAACUGGGAUUCUUGAGUACCGGAGAGGAAAGCGGAAUUCCCCGUGUAGCGGUGAAAUGCGUAGAUAUGGGGAGGAACACCAGUGGCGAAGGCGGCUUUCUGGACGGUGUCUGACACUGAGGCGCGAAAGCUAGGGGAGCGAACGGGAUUAGAAACCCAGUAGUCC